rnacentral:pre_miRNA from 1 species
UAGGAAAUGGCUGGGUUAUAUGGUAGGAAUGUGUUUAACUUAAAAAGAAACUGCCAAACUGUUUUCCAAAGUGGUUUUGUCAUUUUAGAUUUCCAUUGGCAGU